GGGCGUCCGAGUUGUAAUCUAUAGAGGCGUUUUCCCUGCCGGACCGUGUCCAAGUUCCUUGGAACAGGAUAUCAAAGAGGGUGACAAUCCCGUACUUGACACGACGACCGGUGCUCUGUGAUACGUCUUCUACGAGUCGAGUUGUUUGGGAAUGCAGCUCAAAAUGGGUGGUGAGUUCCAUCUAAAGCUAAAUAUUGGCGAGAGACCGAUAGCGAACAAGUACCGUGAGGGAAAGAUGAAAAGCACUUUGGAAAGAGAGUUAAACAGUACGUGAAAUUGUUGAAAGGGAAACGAUUGAAGUCAGUCGUGACCGAGAGGCUCAGCCGGUUCUGCCGGUGUAUUCCCCUCGGUCGGGUCAACAUCAGUUUUGUCCGGUGGAUAAGGGCAGUAGGAAGGUGGCACCCUCGGGUGUGUUAUAGCCUGCCGUCGCAUACAUCGGGUGAGACUGAGGAACGCAGCUCGCCUUUAUGGCCGGGGUUCGCCCACGUCCGAGCUUAGGAUGUUGACAUAAUGGCUUUAAACGACCCGUCUUGAAACACGGACC
rnacentral:rRNA from 1 species